GGGCAACGCAAAGAGAAAGCACAAAUACUAGAGGUCUCACUGCAUCGGCCCCUGUUGCCUCCCAGAUGUUGACGAUCUUCGCCGCCGCCUCCUCUCCACAGUUUCAAGAAGGAAAUGGCACAGACGUCUCCAUCCCCGGCUCCAGGCGUGGUCUCAGAGUUCAAAGGCGUUGGCCAAGAAGGAGUUGGCUUAUGUUCCAGUGAAUGGUUGGUUGUGGUACUUCAUGGAGAUGGUUUUCUGUAAGAGGAAAUGAGAGGAGGACAGAAGGACGAUGGCGCAGAGUCUACAGAACCUGUGGGAUAACCCAGAAAAGUUCUGGGUAGGUUUCAGCCUGUGGAAAAUAUCGUAAAAAUGAAGAUGGCGUAGAGUUGUAGUGAUGUCACAGCGAUGUUUUUCUUUUAAUAACUCCACUGAUGAACGCUCUCUCCCCGGGGCUCUAGUUCUUGCUAAGUCGACUCCGAGAAUAUUAAAAAACACCAGCCUGAAGGCAGCUUGCAGGUCCAGCAAGUACAAACUUGCUUCAAAGCACAAAACAAACAGGGUUCUCUUGUUUUUAUGCUCUUGACCUCAACUUGGAUGAACAUGA